rnacentral:rRNA from 1 species
AUUGAACGCUGGCGGCAUGCCUUACACAUGCAAGUCGAACGGCAGCACGGGAGCAAUCCUGGUGGCGAGUGGCGAACGGGUGAGUAAUGUAUCGGAGCGUGCCCAGUCGUGGGGGAUAACGCAGCGAAAGCUGUGCUAAUACCGCAUACGAUCUAUGGAUGAAAGCGGGGGAUCGCAAGACCUCGCGCGAUUGGAGCGGCCGAUAUCAGAUUAGCUAGGUGGUGGGGUAAAAGCUUACCAAGGCGACGAUCUGUAGCUGGUCUGAGAGGACGACCAGCCACACUAGAACUGAGACACGGUCCAGACUCCUACGGGAGGCAGCAGUGGGGAAUUUUGGACAAUGGGCGCAAGCCUGAUCCAGCAAUGCCGCGUGCAGGAUGAAGGCCUUCGGGUUGUAAACUGCUUUUGUACGGAGCGAAAAGGCUUUCUCUAAUACAGGAGGCUCAUGACGGUACCGUAAGAAUAAGCACCGGCUAACUACGUGCCAGCAGCCGCGGUAA